rnacentral:rRNA from 1 species
GUGAGGAAUAUUGCACAAUGGGCGAAAGCCUGAUGCAGCAACGCCGCGUGAGUGAUGAAGGCCUUUGGGUCGUAAAACUCUGUCCUUGGGGAAGAAAAAAAUGACGGUACCCUUGGAGGAAGCCCCGGCUAACUACGUGCCAGCAGCCGCGGUAAUACGUAGGGGGCAAGCGUUAUCCGGAAUUAUUGGGCGUAAAGAGUGCGUAGGUGGUUUUGUAAGCGUAGGGUGAAAGGCAGUAGCUCAACUAUUGUUAGCCCUGCGAACUGUGAGACUUGAGUGCAGGAGAGGAAAGUGGAAUUCCUAGUGUAGCGGUGAAAUGCGUAGAUAUUAGGAGGAACACCAGUGGCGAAGGCGACUUUCUGGACUGUAACUGACGCUGAGGCGCGAAAGUGUGGGGAGCAAACAGGAUUAGAUACCCUAGUAGUCC